rnacentral:rRNA from 1 species
UACGAAGGGGACUAGCGUUGUUCGGAUUUACUGGGCGUAAAGCGCGCGCAGGCGGCGAUCUACGUCUGGGGUGAAAGCCCGGAGCUCAACUCCGGGACUGCCUUGGAUACGGGAUCGCUUGAGGAUUGGAGAGGCAAGGGGAAUUCCACGUGUAGCGGUGAAAUGCGUAGAUAUGUGGAGGAACACCUGUGGCGAAGGCGCCUUGCUGGCCAAUUUCUGACGCUGAGGCGCGAAAGCGUGGGGAGCAAACAGG